CCUACGGGAGGCAGCAGUGGGGAAUAUUGCACAAUGGGGGAAACCCUGAUGCAGCGACGCCGCGUGAGUGAAGAAGUAUUUCGGUAUGUGAAGCUCUAUCAGCAGGGAAGAAAAUGACGGUACCUGAUUAAGAAGCCCCGGCUAACUACGUGCCAGCAGCCGCGGUAAUACGUAGGGGGCAAGCGUUAUCCGGAUUUACUGGGUGUAAAGGGAGCGUAGACGGCAGCACAAGUCUGGAGUGAAAUGCCGGGGCUUAACCCCGGAACUGCUUUGGAAACUGUGCAGCUAGAGUGCAGGAGAGGUAAGUGGAAUUCCUAGUGUAGCGGUGAAAUGCGGAGAUAUUAGGAGGAACACCAGUGGCGAAGGCGGCGUACUGGACUGUAACUGACGUUGAGGCCCGAAAGCGUGGGGAGCAAACAGGAUUAGAUACCCUAGUAGUC
rnacentral:rRNA from 1 species